CUAAGAGCGAUAUCGACAGGGAAAAACAAAAGUGAAAGACUCCGAUUUUCCUCAUUGAUUUCCUCAAGGCUCACACUAUUUUUCUCGACUUUUAUCGGUUUGCUUACAUCUUUAUUCUUUCAUCUAAACACGCGGAGCUUUCGUUUUCGAACUUCAAUUCGUCGCCAUUGGCAGACCGUUGACUACUCGAAACAAUGAGCAUUUUCCACCAUCAUGUCCGAUUCUUAUUACAGAAUUGUUCACCAUUUCUUAUCCUAUGUCAGUUUUAUCUUGAAAAAAAUACUCCUCCAGAGCCCAUUUGUUUUUCAACCCCUGCGAAAACCAAGAGUCGAGUUGCCCCUAAGACAAUCCUAUUUUAGACUUGGUUCAUCAGACAGGAAAAUCCCUUUAAUUUCGCAGUAUUCUCGUUUCACCACUCGUUUGAUCGGGUAGUUGAACCAUCCUCGGAAACGCGGUCAAAGGUACUAGACUCGAGUCGUACAGCCUCGAGGAUGUUAUCAGUUAUCGAUAAACCAAUUAUCAAUCGAUAUUGAGCUUGAGUCGUAUGAAGUGGGACGAAGAGGACGACAAGAAAGUCGUUUCGAAGUCACCAACUUCGUAUCGUAAUAAUUUCAACAAUGAUUUUUGCCCUUCGCGGACUUGCAUCAUUCGCUGGAAUAAAAGCAAAUCGAUUGUUUAUUUCCUCGUUUGUAUUUCGGUUGUGCAAUAUUUUUAUGUAUCGUAGGAGAGCAAAUGCAUCGAGGUCUCGUUUAUCUAAGUCGGUUUCCUUUGACACAACGAUUUCUGACUCUUUUUGGAUGUUUCCUUAUUAUGACAAUCGCUAAAGAUCAACGGGUCAACGUACGUGGUCAAUGGAAUAGAAUGUUAGUAAAAAGGGGGAUCGGAAAGGAUAUAAAAGCGAGGAUUCUGUCGAAAGAACCAAAGUGAGAAAAUUUGCUAGUAAAACCAUGAAUUCGUUCCUUCGAUUCUUCGCUCUUCUGUUGCUCGCAAUUUGCGUUGUGGCCAAUGCACAUUCUGCCGGAAUAUCACCGUUGGAAAAUCUCAUUCGGAAAAUUGAUGAAAACGCCAAAAACGAAGUUCCUUCGAUGGAAGACAACCCCGCUGUAUUUGCGUCAAGACCACGCCGCCACGUUUGCGUAUCGAGUAGCUCCGUUGAUUGGACAUUGAACUGUCGUGAUUGGUGCAAACAAAAUUUUGACAGUAUGGAGUGUCGAGCAAUAAUCUGCCGUUGCCAAGAUUUCGAUUUUUUGUGAAUAUUUCUGAAAGGAAGAUUCCGAGAUUUUGACUGUAUGUGCUGGAGACUUACGUUUUUGUACUCGAUCUUGCAUAGAAAUUAAAAGAAAAUGAGGAAAGUGGGGAUUUUAAACAAAUACAUUUUUUUCAUAAAUUUCCAAAUCUGAACCAUUUAUUUGGCACACCUGGAAAAAAAGCUGCGACAAUUAUCGUUCCUGUUCGUUUUCGUUGCUAAUGACCAGCUAAUAAAUGUCGAUUUAAAAUCA